rnacentral:rRNA from 1 species
AGAGUUUGAUCCUGGCUCAGAAUCAACGCUGGCGGCGUGCCUCAGACAUGCAAGUCGAACGCGAAAGCCUCCUUCGGGGGGCAAGUAGAGUGGCGCACGGGUGAGUAACACGUAGGUAAUCUACCUUUGGAUUGGGAAUAACCACCGGAAACGGUGGCUAAUACCGAAUAAUGCAGCGGCACCUAAUGGUGACAGUUGUUAAAGCGGGGGAUCGCAAGACCUCGCGUCUGAAGAGGAGCCUGCGGCAGAUUAGCUAGUUGGUAGGGUAACGGCUUACCAAGGCGAUGAUCUGUAGCCGGCCUGAGAGGGCGGUCGGCCACACUGACACUGACAUACGGGUCAGACUCCUACGGGAGGCAGCAGUCGGGAAUUUUGGGCAAUGGGCGAAAGCCUGACCCAGCAACGCCGCGUGAAGGAUGAAAUCCUUCGGGAUGUAAACUUCGCAAGAACGGGAAGAAUAAGUAAGAGUUAAUAUCUCUUACGAUGACGGUACUGUUUGUAAGCUCCGGCUAACUCCGUGCCAGCAGCCGCGGUAAUAC